rnacentral:rRNA from 1 species
UACGUAGGGUGCAAGCGUUAAUCGGAAUUACUGGGCGUAAAGCGUGCGCAGGCGGUGAUGUAAGACAGAUGUGAAAUCCCCGGGCUCAACCUGGGACCUGCAUUUGUGACUGCAUCGCUAGAGUACGGUAGAGGGGGGAUGGAAUUCCGCGUGUAGCAGUGAAAUGCGUAGAUAUGCGGAGGAACACCGAUGGCGAAGGCAAUCCCCUGGACCUGUACUGACGCUCAUGCACGAAAGGCGUGGGGAGCAAACGAGG